rnacentral:lncRNA from 1 species
UUUUUUUUUUUCACUUUCUUGAAAUUUUCUCUUGCUAAUUGUCUCUUCUUUUUUGUUGCAGAGACGUAAAGGGAAGCUUGAGAUUGCUGCUGCAAAACCUUGGUUUUCCUUUAAUUUCUCUUCUGGGCAUUUGAGGUAAGCUACCCUUCAUAAUUGCAAGAAUUUAAUUUUGAUGUUAUGCACACUACAUGUUUGGCAGAAUGUUAGAGAGGAGAAAUUCCUUUCUUUUACCUUGAUUUUUUUUUGGUAGGAAUUGGAGACUUUGCACGCGUCAAUUUAGGAGCUUUGCUUGGCGUCUUUGGAGCUUUUGCACCCAUCAAUUGAGGAGUUUUGCUUGGAGCUUUGGAGCUUUGCACCCAUCAAUCCAGGAGUUUUGCUUG